rnacentral:lncRNA from 1 species
CCUCCGUUGAUUGUGCUCAUGAUUCAUCGCCGAUUCUUCAUUGGAGUGAAGGUAAGAGGGGAGAGGCCCUCAUCUAUCUUUCAUCUUCUUCGGAUCCUUUUGCCUUUGUUAUUGACCAGAUUUCCAUCGACAGAGCAUGCCUACUCCCAGGUAUCGGCGAUAAGAGCAGUCGGGCGGAGAUGCAACUGAAGCACGAUGAGGGCGAAGAGGAAUAGAGAUGCAGUG